AUUGAACGCUGGCGGCAGGCCUAACACAUGCAAGUCGAGCGGAUGAGGGGUGCUUGCACUCCGAUUCAGCGGCGGACGGGUGAGUAAUGCCUAGGAAUCUGCCCGAUGGUGGGGGACAACGUUUCGAAAGGAACGCUAAUACCGCAUACGUCCUACGGGAGAAAGUGGGGGCUCUUCGGACCUCACGCUAUCGGAUGAGCCUAGGUCGGAUUAGCUAGUUGGUGGGGUAAAGGCUCACCAAGGCGACGAUCCGUAACUGGUCUGAGAGGAUGAUCAGUCACACUGGAACUGAGACACGGUCCAGACUCCUACGGGAGGCAGCAGUGGGGAAUAUUGGACAAUGGGCGAAAGCCUGAUCCAGCCAUGCCGCGUGUGUGAAGAAGGUCUUCGGAUUGUAAAGCACUUUAAGUUGGGAGGAAGGGUUGCAGGUUAGUACCUUGCAGCCUUGACGCUACCGACAGAAUAAGCACCGGCUAACUUCGUGCCAGCAGCCGCCGUAAAAC
rnacentral:rRNA from 1 species